rnacentral:rRNA from 1 species
UCCAGACUCCUACGGGAGGCAGCAGUGGGGGAUAUUGCACAAUGGGGGAAACCCUGAUGCAGCGACGCCGCGCGGGCGAAGAAGUAUUUCGGUAUGUAAAGCCCUACCAGCAGGGAAGAAGAAAUGACGGUACCUGAGUAAGAAGCACCGGCUAAAUACGUGCCAGCAGCCGCGGUAAUACGUAGGGGGCAAGCGUUAUCCGGAUUUACUGGGUGUAAAGGGAGCGUAGACGGUCCUGCAAGCCAGAUGUGAAAGCCCGGGGCUCAACCCCGGGACUGCAUUUGGAACUGUAAGGCUAGAGUGUCGGAGAGGCAGGCGGAAUUCCUAGUGUAGCGGUGAAAUGCGUAGAUAUUAGGAGGAACACCAGUGGCGAAGGCGGCCUGCUGGACGAUGACUGACGUUGAGGCUCGAAAGCGUGGGGAGCAAACAGGAUUAGAUACCCCCGUAU